rnacentral:lncRNA from 1 species
AUUUAUCACAUUAACAUCAAAAAUCAUUUGAAAUUAAAAUAGACUUAUUUCUAAGAAAAACAGAACCACGUGAGUCUUAGGCAGCAACAGGGGCAGUUUCAGAAGGUUUGUCUCAGUCUCAAUAGAGACAGACCAAUCCUAAAAUUCUGGGCAAAAGAAAUAAUAUUUCGCCUUUUAAUUAUUCUAAUAUUUUUCUUUUUGUAUUUUUGUUGCACAAGAUUUAUUUAUAAUCAAAGUUCUUUAAAAAGAUAUUUUAAAUAGAAUUAAUCAAAGUAAAUUAAAAAGAAAUAUAUCUAUAUUAUACUUACUACUAAGUAAAAAUAAUAAUUUGGAUGCGCUUAAAAAAAUGAUGCCCUGGACUACCAUUCCUCCCGUCCACCCUCAGGGGCACCCUUAUAGAGACAAUUGUGACAGUUUCGGAUAGUUCAAUUGCUUGAUUAAUCUAGAUAUUUAUUGGUAAUAAGAUUUUUUUUUUUUGAACAAGCCAAAAUGCAAAAUAAUAAAUCACCAAGAGUGUUUCAUCUCGCACAAGGUGUGCAAAAGAGAAACACCCCAAAAAUUGUACAAAACAGUCACGAAUAUCUCAUACUGGAGCACCUCCAAAUUCCAAGGAAAACAGACAUAAAUUACAGCAUUAGACCCAUAAAAGAUAAAGGAGACCUCCACUAGUCAUGAUGAUAGCUGAACACGAAAGUAAUGAGAUUCGCCUUCAAUCACUGGAAAGAUGUCAUUUUUAGCUUGUCUGUUAAUAUAGUUGGAGCCAAUGCCUUGUUAUUAAAAACUCUGUUAUUCCUGUCCUUCCAAAUGAUUCAGACACACUCAAAUUGAUGUCUAACCAAUGGAGAAGAUCAUACCAGACGCUGCCAAAGGUUGUGCAACCAAGAAACAAGUGACCUGCAUUCUCCUCACUACCGCACCCUCCAACACAACUGAUAUCGUCAUACUGAAGAACACGACGGCGCAAAGAGAUUAUCUUUUGUCGGAAGACGGUUACGAAGAAGACGCCAAGCAAAAAUUGAAACCUUUAAUGGGACUUUCUUAUGCCAAACGUCAUUGAACAAUCCCCUUGCAAUAGGUUCAUCACCUGUUGUUAGAAAUUUAUAUGUUCCCUUAACAGAGUAACCAUUAACGGGAUCAAGAAGCCACCUCUACUUAUCUGACAAAUAAUCCUGCAAAACAAUAUCAUGUAACAAGACAUAACAUUGCCUAACACAAUCCUCCUCCCAAGUAGGGCUGGAAAUGAGCCGAGUGGAAUCGAACCUGUUUGAGUUCGACUUGGCUUGUUAAGAAUUGGCUCGGUCCGGACCUCGUUCGAGCUUGACCCGAACUUUUUUUUUCAGUCCGAGUUCGGCUCGUUUAAAGUUCACGAACAGUUUGGUUCGGCUCAUUAGGUUCAUUUCGUUUGUUCAAAGCACGUAACUUUAGGUUAGGUAUGGAAAUAAGUAAAGCCGCUUGAACCACGUAACUCAAAAGUCAAAAGAAUUUAAAUUUUUUACCCAUAAAAUAUAUUGGAAUUUAUACCAAUUUUUAAUGGACUGAACGAGACUAUUAUUACACAUAGUAAUUAACAUCGAUAUGCAACCACCAAAUUGAAUUUUGCCUUCUUGUGCCAUAUGUUUCUCUUAUUAUAUAUAUGAUCAAUUAUCUAUAAAUUUUAAAAUAUUUUUUUAAAUGUUAUAUAUAUAUAUAAUCGAGUCAUCUCGUGAACCAAACGAGCCGAACUACAUAUAGCUCAAGUUCAGCUCAAUUAAUUCACGAACUUAAUUUUCAGCUCAAGUCUGGUUCAUUUGGUUCAUGAACCAAGUUCAAUGAAUCAACUGUCGAAUCGAAUUACGAACUUUAAUCGAGUUGGUUCGGUUCAUUGUCAGCCCUACUCCCAAGCAAAUAGGCGCCUCCUCAACACCCAAGCACUCCCCAUCCUCCCAACCCUGCAUCGCCAUAUCCUCUACAGUUGCCCAUUUGUCAAUGGUUAAAUCAAAAAGGCGAGGAAAUCUUAACCGUAAAGGCACACUUCCCACCUAGUUAUCCGUCCAAAAGAAAGUGGUACCUCCCCCGCAAUCCAUGCGCAUACAUUAUCUUCAAACCAACUUCCAUCCCCCCACCCUACACCACCACGAAUGCGUGACUGCAUCCGCCACCAUAAAGAACUGUCACGCCCCCUCCUUCAGGCGCCCACCUUCCUCCCCGUACCUAGCCUUCAGGACUCGAUACCACAACCCCUCCUUAUCAACCAACAUCCUCCAACUCCACUUCCCUAGUACUGCUAAAUUAAAUUCAUACAAUCUCCGCACACCUAGCCCUCCUUCCUCCUUAGGGACGCAAAUCGAAUCCCAAUUCACCCAGGCAAUUUUCCUAAAAUCCGCACCACCCCCCCAAAAAAAUCUUUUUAAUAAAGUUGUAAGGGAAGAAAAUAUACAUGUGGGAGCCUUGAAAAAGGAAAGAAAGUAAACCGGAAGAGAAGACAGGACAAAUUUCAACAAUACCAGACGGCCAACAAAAGAUAGAAACUUAUUUUUCCACACCGAUAACCGAGACACAAUGUGAUCAAGCACAGGUUGCCAAAAACUACACCGGCGCAUAUCCGCACCAAUAUGUAAUCCCAAAUAUAUAAAAGGAAUUUUACCCGUCCAACAAUUCAUAACCGACACUGCUUCAGUCAACCAAGAGUCUGACACAUUGACACCCGUUAGCAUACUCUUGUGAAAAUUAACCUUCAAUCCGGAUGCCGCCUCAAAAAGAAUUAAAACUGCCUGCAUUGACCUCACAUUCAACCAACUCUUCUCCCCUAUAAUCAAUGUAUCAUCCGCAAAUUGAAAGUGAGUUAACUGCACCUCAUUGUGAUUACCCACAUGGUAACCAGUAAACAAAUGAGCAUCCACCAAAUACUUCAUCAUGACAUUAAACCUCUAAGCCGCUAUCAGAAACAAAAUGGAGAUAGAGGGUCCCCUUGUCGGAGCCCCCUUUCUAAAGGAAACUCCUCUGUAGGGCUGCCAUUCACCAACACGGAUGCCACCGUAGUUCCUACACACUCAGCAAUCCAUUUCCUCCAAAGAGUCGGGAAAUUCAUUUUAACCAUGACCGUAUCAAGAUAUUAUUUUUAAUCAUAUAUUUCAUUACUUUUUAACUUAGCUCAAUGUUUUAGGAAUUUAUUCCGAAUUUCAAUUUUGCUUAUUAUAUUAGUCUAAACUGUUUGUUUAAAAUGAUUUCUUUCCUAUUUAAUUUGUUGUUGAACUUUGUUAUACAAUUUCUUCUAAAUUCACAUCAUCAAUUUAAAUUUUCUCAAAUUAUUAAUCUAAAAUAUGAAAAUUCUUUUCAUCUUUGUGAAAUCAUUUAUUAGAGAAUGAGUCAUAAAAAUGAAAUGUGUUUUUUAGUUAGGCGAAUGAGUUAGAAGCAUCUAGUAUCACAUUUUAUUCAUUGUGGAAACACACACUUUUAACAUUACUAUCUAUUAUUUAUAUCUAUUGUCAAAAAACACUAUUAUUAAUAUCUUAGAAAUGCAUAAAUACAAUCCAUGCUCUCUAAAUUUUACAUGACAAUUUACCAAAUGUAUAUCGUUUAAAAAGUUUCAUUGUGAAUGAGUUUGUCUUAUUAUAUUAUUCUAAAAUGUUUCAUGAUUUUGUUGUCUAAUAUGAAAUUAUUUUUUCCUAUUUGUAGUUGAAUAUUGUCAUGCAAUUUCUUCUAAAUUCUUUUUCUCAUAUUAUCAAUAAAAAAAAGUUAUUUCAUCUUUGCGAAAUCAUGAUUGGAAUGGAGAAUGAGUCAUAAAAAUGAAAUGAGUUUUUCAUUUAGGUGAAUGAGUUAGGAGCAUCUACUAUCACAUUUUAUUCAUUAUUAAAAUGCACACUUUUAACACAAUUAUUUUUUUAUUUUUUUAUCUUAGACAUACAAAAAUACAUGUCAUUCUCUCUGGAUUUUUCUUCCAUUUUUUCCUUCAUUUAAACUAUUUAAUCAUUUUUAUAAUAUUAUUUAAAUUUUAAAUCAUCAUUUAAAAAAUUAGUGAAAUAGAAACAAUACAUUACAACAAUAGAAGUAACAAUCCAUAAAUAUUCCCUAAAAAAAAGAAUCCAUAACAAUAUUGGACACUAUAAGAAAAACCUUAUUUUAACCUUAUAUAAAAAAAUAUUUUGGUGGGGGGUAACAUCUUUUCUUAAAUUCACUUAAUUAUUUUUACCAUUUUAUUUGCUCUUUAAAAAAUUGCCAAUUAUUUCUUUUUUGAAAAAUAUUAGUUUACAAUAAUUAUGAUGUAAAAUGAUAAAAAAAAAAAAAAAAAAAAAAGUGAUAUUUACAUUUUUAAUGUUAACUAAACUACGAACUACAAUACUUUAAAUAUUUUGAAAACUCAGAAAUACUCAAGUUUAUUUCAAUUUCUAACUUUUUUAAGCCAUUCAUACUACUAAAAUCUUUUUUUUUUUUUUUUGUGGUGGCCAGGGUUUGAACCUCAGACCUUACAUAUAUUAAAUAUUGUCCAUACUAAUUGAGUUAACCUCACAAAGACAUACUAAAAUCUAUAUAACACAAGCAAAACAUGAUUAUUUUUUAUUCCUCUACAAAUUUUAUCCACAAGUUCAAUCUUUUCUUUUUUUUCCUUCCGAAAGUAAACUUGAAAUUUGUAGUUUUCACGUUUCCAUUUUUGAAUCAUAUUCACUAUUUGAGACAAACCAUUUCAUUCUAAUCCUAAUAUAUUACUCCCUCCGUCCCAAAUUGUAUGUCGCUUUAGGAAGAAAAAAAAUGUCCCAAAUUAUAUGUCGUUUUACAAUACCAAUGCAACAUUAAUGUUAUUUUUUCUAUUAUAACCUUAACUAUUUAUUACUAUCUUUUCUUUCAAUUCUUUCAUUUAUCUUUCUCAUGUUAUUUAUUAAGGACAAUUUUGUAAAACAACUCAUAAUAUCUUUUUUCCAUACAAUAUUAAUUGCAUUUCUUAAUAUGUGUGAAAUGCUCAAAACGUCAUACAAUUUAGGACGGAGGGAGUAGACACAACUUUUAUUCCUAUUCCUCUUUCCCCCAUUACCUCAAAGUUCAACCUGACAUUGUUCAUCCACAUGAAACCUUCAAGAAAACUCAUAUGUGCUAGUAAUAAUAGUGUUCCUUCACCCGUAUCAUUGACUAUAGAUACGGUUACUUCAUUCAUAGUUAUGGCCAUUAGCCAUGGUUAUGACAGAUAGUGAAUUAUUACCGCAAGUAACAGUGAAAAAACCAUGUCGGCGAGUGAAAUAGACAUAAGCUCAAGUAGUGGAUGAGUUGUUGGCUCUGACCGUGUGCUCGUUGAAGAACAAGUCGACGACUCAUAGCCAAUGACUUGGUUAAGCGAAAUUGUUUCUUAGCGUAGCGAAAGCGAGGAUCAUUGUCAAAACAACUGAUUUUGAUUAGCGCCAUUUAAUCAUAGAGUUGGCUGCUUUUCGGUCAACUAUGCAUAAGUACAAAUCACACAUGUGAAUUUUAACUUUUUAUAUAUGUUGGGGCCACCUACAAUUCAUAUGAAUUUUAACUAAGUACUAUCUUUGAAUAAUAAGCCUCAUCAGUAGUCGUAACGAUGGUGGAAUCAGCAAUGGCUGAACAAUAAUGCAGUUUUAGUUUCUUAUGUCACACCUAAUUUCAUAGUUUCUUAUCAAAAUGAGAUUAUUUUUUUUACAGAAGAUCUUGCGUGGGUUGAUUCAUACCUAACAAUUUUGAUAUUUUAGAAAGUGAUUGGAUGCCUUUUAGAAAUGCUUUGUUAGAAAUUAUCAGUUCCGAAUUCAAUCUUCCAAAGUUGAUGACAGAGAAGGCAAGUAUUCCUUGUGGUAGAGGAGACAAAUAUUACUUUCCAACUCAAUCAGUCAUUUUCGACUUCUGAUGUAGAGCACUUGCAAAGUCGUUCUUCGAGUAUAAUGUUAGCCUAAUAAGUAUGGUUACAGAACCAAGCACAAACACUGAAUUCACUAACACCUUAUCUUUUUCAACCUUUUAAGGAAAUCUUUUUUUGCCAACUUAUAAUAUGGACGAGACCGAACAAAACAUUUGAUUUAUGACUUGAGCUUGAUUCUGCAACUUAUGAGAUGGAUUAGGCUUAGGCAUCUGAGAAUAUCUUCAAACUCUUGGGAUGUGGGUUAUGCAACUGAUGAGAGUGACUGAGAGUAUCUUCAAAGUUUGGGAUUUGGGUGAACUUGUUAAAGAGUUGAAAAACGCUAUAUCUUUCUUUGCGGAAGGACCUGAAGGAAAGAUCGCUUGAUGAUCUUAUUGCUGGCAUUGCUGAUUUGUCUUUAAAUAAGAAAGUUUAAUUUUCUUUAAUCUUGAUCCAUCUAUUUUAACUCUAUUUAAGUAUUAGCAUUAGAAGCGUUAAUGAGUACAGAAAAUACUAAAGGAAUAAGAAUAUAAAGGAAGUUAACGAGUAAUUAGCAGCAAGGACAAUUUGAUUUAUAGUUCAAAUUAAAGUAGUCAACAACAUUCAUUACAAAUUGCAAAAUAAGAUAUAGUGUAUGUUUGGUAUAACAAUUGCAAAACGAAGUUUGAUAGAAAUCACGGCAAAAAACUAUGUCAGGGUAGAAGCUGGUAUUUGGAGCUUCUGUAGAUCACGAUUCACGACAAAAACACAUCAGGAAACGUGCAAAUAUGCUUUUGUUUGUUGCAAACACGAAACCAAACACACAUAGUUAUAGACUUCUAGUAGCUUAUAUACCACUACCAGUAACACAUCACAUUGAAAGUAUUUAUCACAUGAACACCAAACAUCAUUCAAAAUUAAAAUAGACUUAUUUCUAAGAAAAACAGAACCACAUGAGUCUUAGGCAGCAACAGUGGCAGUUUCAGAAGGUUUGUUCUCAGGCUCAAUAGAGACAACUGUGGCAGUUUCAGAAGGUUUGUUAUCAGGCUCAACAGGGUCAAUAGUUACAGCUUCUGAAGGCUUGUUUUCAGGUUCAGCCUCAGUUGCAGUUUCUGUGGGAUUGUUUUCAGGUUCUACCCAGAAUUCAGUUUUCUUUCCAGUUUUGGAAACAGUGUCAAAAACAUCUUGUGGCUUUACAUUUCCUUUCACAGUCACUUUUUGUUCCUUCAUAUCAAUGUCAAAUGAUUCUACACCUGUGAAGAACAAAUGUGUUAUUUUGAUACAAUAUUCAUAGAGGAUGUUUGGUUGGUAUAUGUCCAUCCCCUUGGUUAUGUCACAUAACACUAAUUCAAAUUCAAAUUGAAAGGUUUUGAAAAUUAUUUAAACAGUUUGAAAUGAAAUAACCAUGCUAUAGAUGUUGAAAUAGAAAUAAGUAAACAUAUGGACAGCAUAUCUUGAUUAACCUUUCAAAAAAAAAAACAUAUCUUGAUUAAUAAAAUUUAUGGGAAAAAAUAUAGAGAUAUUACAUUGUCACAAUUAUUAAUUCAACAUGAUAACAAAGAUUAUUUAUUUGCUCUAGGAAUUAAAAAUACCUUCCAUUUUUUCCAAGACCCUAUUGACUGCUCCUGAACAGCCUGAGCAUGACAUUUUUACUUUGAGGACAACGGUCUGCAAUGAUCACAAUGGAAAAAUUUCAAAUUCAUAGUAAAUAGCAUUUUUUUUUAUAAAGGUUAAGCACAUUCAUAAAUUGAAUUCAAUUUAAAAAAGGAAAAUAAUUUGAAGAUGGUGAUAAUAAGAACAAGGCCGUUCUCGUGAGUUUAACUCAGUUGAUAGAGACAAUGCAUAAUAUAUGCAAGAAUCAACAUUUGAGCCCCGGACACCUCACUUAUUCAUCUUAUAAAUGUGAAUUUCUAGCCACUAAACUACUUGACAAAAAAUAUAAGAACAAAGCAGGGCAUAAAAAAAGUAGGAAUAUCUGACAGAAUAGUCAUGUGUGGAUCCUUAGGAUAACUUGAUAAAGCAGAUUAAUCAAAAAAUGUAUUGCUAUCAAAAAAACAAAAUCAAACUAAUAACAACACAAAUUUAGGAAAAAACUGGAGGCCUACAUAUAUAAUCUAAAAGUAAAUCUAAAGAUUUGUAACAAACAAGGAAGAAAUAAUCAUUCUUUGCUUUAUUAGUGUUAGAAUUGAACUUCUACUUCGUAAUUUGUUGACAUGCAAUAACAAUGAAAUUUGUAUCAUGCAAUCAUCUUGUAUGUGAGUGCAUAUCAUCAAAAGGAAGAAAAAAAAUUGAUCAAUCUUCUCUACUUUCAUCAGAACCAAAUUUUCUAAUAUAAUUAUAAAACAAAAUACAAAAAAUUACAAAGGAUCCAUGAUAUCUCAAUUCAAAAACUCAUCAACUUCAACACAAAACGUCUAAAGCAAGGAACUAGAUCAAAGAAAAAACAUAAAAUAAUAAAUCCAGAAUCACAAUGAUCAAGCUUAAGAAAAAUAGAAGAUCAACAACAACAUAGAAAAAGAAGUAUAAAGGUUAAGCACCUCAGAAGACAUGGUUAUGAGUUUGAAAUAAAGUGAACCAAAAAGAAGAAGAAUGUAUUCUGAAUUGGAUGGUUAUGGAAUGAGGGUUGUGGUAAUGGGAGUGGUGCCUUUAUACUAAAAAUCAAUGAGAAUAUGUGGUAAUGGGAGUGGUAGUAGCAUUGUAAUAUACGGAAUUACUCCAUUAUGUUGCAAAAUAUUCUUUUUUUUUAAAAGCUAUUCACUUUGAGGGAUAAUGCAUAAUAUAUAUAGAGGCCGAAGUUCGAACACUCCAUUUAUAUGAUACUAGUAAUAGUUAAUUUUAUUUUUGUAAAAAAAAAAAGGAUAAAUUUUAUUAAAUUUUAGCAUUAGUUCUUUAACCCCUCAAAAGAAUUAUUAGUUCUUUAAAAAAGAUUUUUUUAUUUUUUCUUGAAUUAUUAAUACUUUACUAUCAUUUAAUUUAGUUUGACUUUAUGUCAAUUAUAUUUUUAUUAAUAUUUAUUAAAGUAUUUUGAAUUGUGUUAUGAUAAAAUAAGGAUUUAAUUCACAUACAUGAUAAGUUAAAGAAUUUUUACAUUAUCAGUCCCUCAAUAUUAUUUAGAAUAUAUAUUUGACUUUUAUAAUCAUAAUUAAUUUUAAAGUCAAAAUUAAACUCAAAAUGUUAUGAUAAGGAAUAAUUAAAUAAUUGUGAAAAUUUUGCUUACACGAUUUGAUGGAUGCAUUAAUCAUUGAAUUUUUUAAAUUAUGAGAUUAGACAUGAGCAGUUAGAAUUUAUUAAGAGUUUACUUUUAAUAGAAUAAGAUAAGAUUUUACUUGUUUUUUCUCAUUUGUUUAUGUUUCUAUAAUAGAAUUAGAAGUCAAGACAGGGUGUGCAGGUUGGUGAGCCAAUAUAUUGGAAGCAGGCUUAAUGAUAAUUAAAAGCAGAAUUUUGCAGUACAAAAGAAAUACAACCGGAGGUUCCAAUGCUUCCUUUUCAAGCUAAAAAAUUGUUGUACUUCACAGUUGAAUUCUAACUCUAUUUGUAAGUAUUGUAGUACAAGUCUAGAAGAACUUUUUUCUCUUUUUCUUUCUUUAUCAUCAACGAGAAUCGGUCUUACCUAAAACAAAAUGGUUGGGCCUUGAAGGGAACUCAUUGAUCAACAUAAAAGUGGAUUGCACACCCACUUUUUUGUAACCUCUUCUCAAUGGAAAGUUUUUUAUUCCAUAAACACUUACAUCGUCGCUGACACUCAACAUCAACGAAAAUCCUACUAUUGUCAGAAAGAUUUUCGUUACAACAAUGGUAAAAUGAAGGGAGUCUUGAAAUCAUCUUAUUGAAUUAGGAGAAAUCAUAUAAGUGAAGGGAACCUUGAAAUAAUCUCAUUGAAUCAGGAGUAAUAAACCUUGACAUUAGGUAUAUAAUCAAGUCAUCUUCACACUUACUAUACCAACAAAACAAACUUAUGAUAUUAUUUUUUUUGAGUAUGAUAUUUGAUUUUUUUUAUAAUUCGCAUAACUUUUCCGUUAAAUUAGUGAAAUUUAGAAAUAAAUAUAUAUAUCAUCAUUCAUUAUGUCGGUGUAUAGUUAGGACAAUGGGAUGAAAUAAAAUUGUACCCGCAUGGAUCCAUGGAUAGAAUAUGUAAGUAAAAUAAAUGAAUAUUUCAAUUACCCGUUAUUUAACAUGUACGUUGCGAAUUUAAUGAUACUCGUUCAUGUAAGUAUCAUUAUACUUGUUAAUAAAUUAAAAAAUUACUUAAAUAUCCUUACCUGAAUAUAAAAGUUGUCUUUCAAACUAUUUCCAUAAAAGAAAAACCUAGAUAUUAUUUAUGUUCCUCUCUUUUGGACCUCUCAGUGCUUCCAUAGACCUCAUAUUUUGUAUACUUUUGUUGAAUGUGAUGAACUUUAUUUUGGUUGAUGAAAUGUAUUAAUAUUAUUAUGUUUUCGAAAAAUGAAGUAAAUGAAUGUGACAAACUUUUGUCGCUAUAUUUUAGGUAAUUAAAAAAAAUUACAUUUAUUUUAUAAUGUUAUCCAGGAAUAUCCAUUAAAAAAAAUUGAAAACUAGGUAUCCGAUCCAAUAACCGACUAUUUUGAGGGGAUCAAUCUCACUAGCCACAUGCGGAGGCCUCGUUUAAAGCCAAACAAAGUUAUGCAUGGACUUGUCCACCAAAAUUAGCACCAAAGGGAAUCGAACAUGAGACAUUGAGAGGAGCACGCUCCAAGAUUCUCAAGCCAACCACUAGACCAACCCCAAAUGAGUAUGAAUAUUGAUAAAUACUCGUUGAUACCUCAAAAUUUGUGGAUUACUCACAUAAUGGAUAUCCACGUGAAUAUGAAGAAACCAUGUGUUUAUGUACGGACUUGCCCACCGAAAUUAGCAUCAGAGAAAAGCGAACCCGAGACUUUGAGAGGAGCACACUCCAAGAUCCCCAAGCCAACCACUAGACCAACCCCAAAUGAGUAUGAAUGUUCAUAAAUACUCGUUGAUACCUCAAAAUUUAUGGAUUACUCGUAUAAUAGAUAUCCACAUGAAUAUGGAGAAAACACGUGUAAUAGAUUUAUCCAAUGGAGCGAACAUAUAUAUCAUAUAAUUCGUGUGUGCAGAUACCCAUUUACAUCCCUAGUUAGGACUCACAAACAAAUUAAUAUAUGGGUUAAUAGGUCUUUAUCCCUCUGUAAUAUAGGUCAUUUCCGGUUUCCCUCCUGUAAAUUUUUUUUUUAUUUACCCCUUGUAAAAAAAAAAAAUAUUUACCCCCUAAUAGGCCAAACAAAAACGAAAAAUUUCUUGAAAAAAAAUUUUUGUUUUUGUUUGGCCUAUUAGGGGGUAAAUCAAAACAAAAAGAUUUUACAGGGCGUAAAUAAAUAAAAAAUUACAGGGGAGAAAACCGGAAAUGACAUAUAUUAUAGGAGGUAAAGACCUAUUAACCCAUAAUAUAUUAUUUACAUGCUUGAGGAUAUAUAAUUUGAUAUUUUCUUACAGUUUAAUCUUUAAUGCUAAGAGUCUUGAGUUAGAAUAUACCAUACCAUCCCAACUCGAGUGUUUAUAUGCGUAAGAAUUAAGAUUAGUUCAACAAAUAAAGUUGAGUUAGGAAAAAAAAUCAAAUUAUUAUAGAGAUAGCGACAAUAUUUUGAGGUUUUAGUUUUUACAAUAAAGUAAGGUUGAAGAAAUAUUAUUAUUGCAUGGCAUGCAAUAAUGAAGUGGGCUUCGUCAUUCCUCCAAUCAAAAUUGUCCCCCUCUUAGUGGAAUGAAUUCCUUAAAGCAUAGGAUAAUAUUGCAGUACAAGAAAUGUAAUACAACCUUUAUUAAGCAAAAACUAAUAAUAUGGUAGUAUGUAGUACCAUGACACUUUUGAGUAUGAAUUCCAAUAUUGUAUUGGUAGAUACUAACCUUGUAGUACAAAGUAGGUGUCUCAAACGUUGUACUAUACUCUUUCUUUUUUUGGGAUACAAUGUACUACUCUCUUUAUUUACUAUAGUCAGUACCACAUAUGCAUGGGUAGAACUUAAGAAAGGUUAAGUCAUAUAUUCUCUCUCAAAAAAAAAAAAAAAAAGUUAAGUCAUAUAUAACCUCAACUAAUUGAGCUUGCAUGGCAUUAUAUCCCACUAAUGGUAUGUUAAGAUGGAAUUUAUUUUGUAAGAAAAGAGGGAAACGACUAAACAAUAAGUCGAGAAGUACUAAGUAUUAACGCAUCUAUGGUUUCUUCUUAAGCAAGCAAUCUGAAACUAGGGUUUCUAAUGAAGGAGAAGAAGAUAGUUAUGGCGGUUAGGGUUUGUUAUAGUUUGAUGAAAGAGAGAGAGAUAGUAUUGGAAAGUUGUUAUUCAUGUUGGAUUAUGAAAAGUUAGUUACAAGCAAGUAUAUAUACAAUGACUUAGAGAGCAAGUCUCUUGUAACAACCUGACAAACUUAUCCAAAAAAUAAACUAAACUCUUAAUCACUUGCUAAACAUGAUUAUGGAUUAAAAACACAAACUAAUACUAACAUACACUACAAAGCUAAAUUAAGCAAAGAAAAAAUAUAAUCAACACUAAAGAAUGAAUUAUGUUAGCAAGCAAGUGAAUCGUAUGUGUUAGGCCCUAUAGGGAUUUAUUAGAAGUUCUCUAAUUAGGGUGUUGGAGAAUAAAACAAUCUCAUGGAGAAAAGAUUGGAGAAAAAUAAUGGACUACUCUUCGAAUUCACAAUGUGAACAACAAUUUUUUAUAAUACAUUUCAAACGCAACCGGGUUUAGAGCUAAAUCAUGAGCCAAUUUUAAAUCCAAAUGAAGAGCCCACAAACAAUUUAUAUUUCUUUUAAACAUAAACAAUCCUAAAAGGAGAAAACUUAGGUACAAUUCCUUAUGUACUUUUCGUAUGGUUUUUAACUAAAUUCACCAUGAUUUCCUCAAAUCCAUAAUUUUCACAAAGUUUGUUAUAUCCAAAAAAUAUGUAUUUUUAGUUAAGAACCAUACAAAAAGUACCUAAGUAAUUGUAUCUAAGUUUUCUCCAUCCUAAAAUUCAGAAGAAAAAAAAUAUGAGAGAUGUUCACACUUACUUAUUGGUUGUAGAUAAUAUGUGAUUUCUAUGACUUUAUUAAAUUUGUUGAAGAUCAACAAUUGAAUGAAUAAAUAAGUCUUUUGGUCCAAAGUUCAAGUUUGAAAAGUUUAAACUAGGACAUCAUUAGGCUGAUGAGGCGUCUCAUUUGGUGUUGAUAUAUUUUUUUUUUUUUAUCCUCGUGAGCUUAGCUCAGUCGGUAUGGACAAUGCAUAAUAUAUGCAAGGUUCGGGUUCAAACCUGGCCACCACAAAAAAAAAAAAAAAAAAACAUUUUUGAUUGUUAAAAAAAAGUUUCAAAAGUUUAAACCACCAAAAACGUAUAUGGCAGAUUGUUGAGAAAUUAAAAAUGGGAGUUAUCUACAGAAACUCACCAAACGGGAGUUAUCUCCGGAACAAAUUUGAGAAAUUAAAAAUGGUCAGAUUAAAAUUGAAGAUUUUUUAUGGGGAUUAUAAAUGCAUUUAAGUUAAAAAAAAAUUCUAUGAUGAAGUCAUGAGAAUGACUUUUCUGGUGAAGUUAAUCCUAUGACUAAUCUAUUUCUCUUCUUAAAGUUUGCUUUGAUAAUUUAAAAAUAAAUCCAAAAAUGUAUGUAUUCCUUAUCUGAGAUUCCAUAUUCUUUCAAUGAUGUCUCAUGAAAACAUAUGCAAUAAUCAAUAUGUGCUUGAAAGGUGCAACCACAAAUUGAUUGAGAUGAAACAAGACAGAGUUCAAGAGGUUAAAGCCCACCUAUCCAGGUUCAACAUAAAUAUAGCCAAUCAUUCAAAACCGACGAUCUCUUCUAAUCAUAAACUAAUAGGUUAAAAAUUAUUUCAACUUAUGGAUGUCUUACAAGUAUGCAAACUUCAUUAUGGGAACCCAAAAACUACAACAAAAAAAUUACAGGGACUAAAACCAAAACGAGACAUAUAUGCAGAGACUAUUAGCCAAAAAAAAAUAUACUGGGAAGGACAAAUUUUACAACUGUUUCUAAUAAGAUUUGAACAAAGUUACAAAAUCAAAUUCUUAUUAUUAAGUUGAUAUCUCAUCAUUCAUCAAUAACAAUGUCUUUAUUGAAUUAUAAAAUACUCAAAUCAAUUAAUCUCAAAGUUUAGCUUAGGGUUCACGAUCUGAAAUAAUGCUUUGAGUUCUUGAUUCACGAGUUGCUUCACUGAAAUUUCUCUCAAAGGAAUGCUUAAUGGUGUAACCUCAAUGGAAAAACUUUGUGACACACUUUUCAUUGUUGGUCUAGAGGAAGGAUUUGGAUUUAAGCAUGCAGAUGCUACUACAACAACAUGAAUUAUGUCAAGUAAAACUUUCACAUCAUUUGGAAGUGGGAGACGUUGGUCUAAUACUUCACAUAAUUUGAUGUCUUGAGUUGAUGUUAAUUGAAGUGAUGACAAUAUUUCCUCGGGAUAUCUUCCCACUAAAAUUUCAAGUGCCACUACUCCAAAACUAUAUACAUCACAUUUUUCACUUACAACCAUAGUAUAUGCAAGCUCUGCAUUGACCAAACCACAAUGAGAAAGUCAAAGGAUGUGAAAAUACACUUAAAAAUAGAAAAUGAUAAAGAUAAUAUAAAAAUAUAUUAUUAUAACUAACUCUUAAAUAUAAAAAGUAUAUAUUAUUUUUAAUUGGGAGUUUAUUUGAAACAAGUAAUGAUUAUAUUUAACAAUUCAAAAUGAGAAUUUCUUUUCAACGAGACCUUGUAUUUAAGGGUAAAGUUAGGAGUAGACUUUUAUGACCUUAGUAUUAAAAACAAUUAAACAUGUAUGUCUUUUUUUCGUCAAGUAAUCUAAUGGCUAAAAUUCACAUUUUUUAAGAUGAAUAAGUGGGGUGUCUGGGGUUCGAAUCCCGACCCCUGCCAACUGAGUUAUUCUCACGGGGACUUAAACAUGUAUGUUAUUUGCCUGGAUUAUGAAUAUGUUUGUUAUGCAUCAUACAAAAAUUGGAAUAAAUUAAAUAAAGAGACAAGAAUAAAAUUAAUGCAAUUAAUAAUUUACCAGGAGCUAUAUAUCCAAUAGUUCCACCAACUAUUGUUUGAUUAGAUGAAUCAUAUUGAAGGAGUCGAGCUAUGCCAAAGUCAGAAACACUAGGCUGCCAUUCUGAGUUUAGCAAGAUAUUGCUAGUAGAUACAUCUCUAUGCACUAUUGGAGAGGUGAAAUCAUGAUGAAGAUAUGAUAGAGCAGAUGCAACUCCUUUAAUGGUGUUAACCCUUUUCCUCCAAUCGAAUUUUAUGGCUUCGACAUCAUCAUGCAAGACGGAGAACAAGCUUCCUUUUUCCAUAUACUGAUAGAUCAAAAACAUAACUCUUUUAUGCAAACAAAAUCCAUAAAGCUUCACAAUAUUUCUGUGCUUUAUUUCUGAUAAUAUUUUCACUUCAUUUCUAAAACUUUCAUCAAGAGAUGGCACCUCUGCUUCGUAGCUAUGAAGUUUUUUUAGUGCAACAAAUUUACCACUUGGUAAUUGUGCCUUGUAAACACUUCCAUAUGCUCCUUUUCCAAUGCAAUAUUUAAUGUCAAAGUCUUUUGUUGCUCUAAUGAUGUCAUUGUAUGCUAUUUUGCCAUCAUAAUUCCAUAUACAAAAUAAAUCACCAUUAUUCGUUGUCUCCGUGUUUCCAUGCUUGUUCUUGAUAGAAUUAUGACGACGUUUGAAGUACACGAGAAGUGAGAAGGCUAUGAUUAGAAUAGAAAGGAUAGGAAGAACAAUGAAAACAAUACGCUUUACUUUGCUAUUUUUCUUAUGAGGUUGCAAUUGGUCAUAUGAAGUGUCGAUACAUACAUCUUUGUUCCUUGUGUUCCUUGGAUUAAGAUAAGUACAUUGUGGAAUGGGAACUUUCAAACAAUUGUAAGAAAUGUCCAGAUAAAAAACAUUACAGAGAGAUUGGGGUAUCGUUCCACUGAGAUUAUUAUUACUUAAAUUAAGUUUGUAAAAAUGUCCAAACUGAGAAGGGAUUUCGCCACUAAUUUGGUUGUGACUAAGGUCAAUGGAAGUUCCAUAAUCUUUCAAUGGAAACAAAUUGGAACGAAGUGUACCAUUGAGUAAAUUGUGGGAAAUCUCAAGGGUUUCUAAAUGAGAGAGAUUUUUCACCAAAAUAGAAAAGGCGCCACUGAUGGAAUUAUAUUUUAACCGCAACGUUUUCAAUUUGGUUAAUUGGUCGAAAUUAGAUGGGAGGGAACCGGUGAGAAAAUUGUUAGAGAUGUCAAUGUAUUGUAAUUGUGUGAGAUUUGUAAGGAAAAUAGGCAAGUUUCUACUUAGUCGGUUGUGCGAUAAAUCUAUUUUUUGGAGAUUAUUCAAGAACCCUAACUCAAGAGGAAUGGAACCUUGAACGUGGUUGUUAGAGAUGUAUAGGUACUCGAGUUGUGUGAGAUUUCCUAGUGAAGAAGGAAUGAAACCUUGAAUAUUGUUAAAAGAAAUAUCAAGAUACUCUAAUCUUUUAAGAUUUCCAAGCGAAGGAGGUAACUCACCUACAAGAGAAUUGCUACGCAGAUCGAGAUAUGCAAGCUUUGCGAGAAGACCAAUUUCUUUUGGGAUACGCCCUCGUAGACCAAUUCCAAUGACAUCAAGUUUUUCUAAAUUAUGAAAAACAGACAUGUUGAGUUUUUCAAAUUGAAUAACCCAUGUCCUUGUUGCAAAAUAUAUAUUGAUUUCUUUUAUACUUCCAGCCUCAUUGCAAGAUAUACUAGACCAACUACAACGAUUGGAGAUAUUGAAGUCUGCAUCAGAUGUGUUCCACCAUUCACUAUUUAGUAUUGCAUUUGCUUCCAUUUGAAGUUGAGAUGUCACUAUGACAAAUUGAGUCCCCAUGAACAAACCCCAAGUAAGAAGAAAAAUCUUCCACAUUUUUGGACUAUAGAUAUUAGAACAAAAAUAUUUUGUCAAGUUCAUUUUUUGAGAUUGAAUGAAUUGCAUGCAAUUUUCUAAGAAGCAUCAAAAACCUUUAUACUCGUUAGACACUCCCAUUCUCAUAGACCAAUUCAAUAUGAUUUAAUGCUUUGGAUAAUUAAUUGCCUAUGCAUAUGUCACAAUAUUUUUUUUUUUUUGGAUUAGCACAUGUCACAACGUUGGAUAAGUCUAAUGUAAACGUGAAUAUAUUUUUUUUUUAAAGUAUCAACCAUAGGUGACAGGACUAAUUUUCCAAUCUCUCUAUAUAGUUGUAUCGUUUUUUUCUUCUUCUUUCAAUCUUUAUAUACAAUGUCUCUACCAAUUCAGCUAAGCUCACAAAGACAUAGUCAUAUUGGAUUUGACAUGGCAAAUAGAGAGUUUGGUUAUGAGAAAAAUAAAAUCUGAUUAAGUUUUAUUUUUGACAAAAAGUCUGAUUAAAUAUUGUAUAGCUAAAGAUCAAAUUUGAAAUACAUCCCAAAGUAUUCCCUCUUAACUAAAAUUUAUUAACAUUUUGAGUUAACUAAUUUUAUAUUCAUUAUUUUAAUAUUUUUGUAUCAUAGGCUUUUGUAACUAUAUCUCCUUCGUCUCAUUUUUUGCAAAAAGAAAAACUAUUUCAAAAUGUCAUUUUUAAUGUAAUAUUAGUUAUUUUUUAAUCAUACUCAAUCUUAUUAAUAAUAUCUGUGCAUCACUUCUAUUAAUGGAUUUCACUGUGCAUCUAUCUCCUACUUUUUUUGGUAGUUAUCUUCCACAUUUUUUUUGGGUGAUAUAGUUAUCUUCCACUUGAUCAAGUUAAUUUGAGCAAUAAAAAAAAAUUGUUGUCAUUUACGUGUUUUCUUUAAUUACUUGUGUUGAAUAACUGAAAAAUGGCACUAACAAUAAAAUAAAAUAAAAAAGAGUAGUAUACAACCAACUUUUCUAUGUUCAUCCAUUUAUGUUAGGACUUAAGCCCACGAAGAGAGCUCAACUCAAAAGACUAGUCCUAUAGGUGGGAGAACCUCAUAACUUAAGUAUCACAUCAAGUACUUGAUCUACUCGACGUGGGACUCCUAACAUUGACACGCCCUUUAAGAGCCGGUGUCCACGGCGGCUUUCACUCUAUCGGCACUAACAUGAUGGUAGCCCUUUCCUUUUUGCGGCUUCAUUCACAUAUCAGUAUUCGGUGAAACACCUUAAUCCAACCUAUAAGUAGCCCUUUCCGUGGUCCAACUCUCAACGAAAGCACCAAUUGUUAGGACUUAAGUCAAUGAGGAGAGCCCAAUCCAAAAGACUAGUCCUAUAGAUGGGAGAACCUCAUGACUUAAGUACCACAUCAAGUACUUUGAUCUACUCGAUGUGAGACUCCUAACAAUUUAUCAUGUAAAAACUUUUCUUAUAAUUUUUUAGGGUUAGAAAUGGAACAUUUAAAAUAUUAUAAGUAAAGACUUUUCUUAUAAAAAAAAAAAAAAAAAUUCCUUCAAAUUCUUAUAAUAUUCUAAACAUUUUUGUAAAAAUUUAUUCAAAAAUAUAAAUGGUACAAAUGAUCUAACUUAAAAUUAGUGACAAAAAAUGAGGACGGAAAACUUUUUGAAGACUAAGUCGAAGAAAUUUUCUAAAGAAAUUAUAACUAAAAAACGGGAGGGUUAGCGAGGUUAUUGGUGUUUGUGUGGUGUGAUGGAGAAGCUACUUGUGUGAUGGUUGGGGGUUUUGUGGGAGGUGUGGUUUUUGCGUGGGGGUAUGGAUGGGGUAGGCGUGGAUAAUCUAGUUUCGGAUUUUGUGGCAGCUUGUGACGAUAUUUGAGGGAUUUGGUGCAACUUUUGUUUAUGUUGUUGUGCGGAGGGUUGUCUUGGAUUUUGGUGUUAGCUUUAUUUUUUGUGUUUCCUUUUAUUGAUUUCGAAGAUAGUCCUUAAUGUUAGGUGGUGUUUCAUGAGGGGAUCUUUAGAUUUUGUCUUUGAUGCACGGAUGUAUGUGUUUACAUUUGGGUGUUCCCCAUCUCUCAUUUGUAUUUUGCUAUUGACUCCUACCCUAGCACUUCUUGUGCUGGUCAGGAUUCAUUGUGAUUUUAAUAAAUUUCAUUUUUCCUUCUUAAAAAAAAAUUAAAUACUUAUAAAAAUCAAAAACAUACUUAAUCCAUAAAUUUAUCUCAAAGACUUAAUCUCAUUGUUUGUGUUUAUAUAUGUUUGGGUCUGUUGACUUGGUUAAAUUAUGAAAACUUUGUGUGCAAGUUAAGUUACGAAAAUGUGCAAGUUUUUCUUCGUCAACAGGUCUAUUUUAAUGUUUUUAAGUAUGUUUUAUGUAAGAUAUUUGACAAAUUCAAUGCAUUUUUUUUUUUGACGAGGAAUUCAAUACAACUUUAUAUGAUAGUGAAUAUUUUUUUUGAAGGAUGAUAGUGAAUAUUAUUUUCAUCAAAAAAUGAUAGUGAAUAUUUUUCUUUUAUAUUCUGCUUCAUCGGUACCUUAUUAUAGGCCUAUUUGAUCAAUUUCGUAUACAUUAAAAAAAAAUUGAUAUUAUAGUUAAUAUGUUUAUUUUGUGAGUAAAUAGUACUACUACUAAAUCACCAUUUGUUUAAAUGUGUAUUUCAUUUGACUUUGCAAAUUUUAAGUUAUUAGUAUUAAUUAGAGUUAUUUUUGGAAAAAUAAAUUAAUAAAUUCACUUAAUAAUUUGUAUUUGAACUUAUAUUUAAGGACAUGAUUUUUCUUCUUCUUAAUAAAUUCAUUUUUCUUUAACGAACUGAAGAAGUAUCCUUUUUUAGAUAAGCGAAAAUUAAUAUCCAAGUCCUUAUAAAGAGAUGGAGAGAUUAGACUUUUUUGAAUGUGGGUGGAAACAGACGGCUCAUUCGACAGGGGUCUACGUCCUACCUUAUUUAAAGUUUAGCUCGACUUAGUUCAUUUAAUAAAAAUGUCAGAUUAAAGCUUUUUAUAAAGUGUUUAGUAAAAAGGGCACAAGCUUUUUUUUGAAAGAAAGGUGUUUAUAACAUUUCAUUAAUUAUUAAAGAUUCAAUACAAUUGAGUAUAACAUAAUAAGUAACGGAAUUAGCUAAUAAUGUGGUCUCUCUUGCAAGAUUAUGAGCUACCACAUUUGCUUGUAGCCUAACGAACUCCAAGCGAGAGGCUCUAGUUUUUUAUAAAGCCUAUUUAAUUAAAUAUGUCAGACUAAGGCUUACAAAAAAGCCUAUUCCUGUCAGGCCGACCUAUUAACCUUUUUAUAUAUACUUUAUCUUCCAUUAUUGAUAUUGUUGAAGUUUUUUUUCCUCCAUAAACUCAAGUCUUCAUAUGAUUUGGUUCUUUAAUAGUAGAUAUAUUGAUGUUAUUAGACAUUUGUAAAAUUCCGUUAUUUAGUAGCAGACCUAUUCGUGUGCUUUUGACCUUCAUAAGUUUUGACAUAUUUAGUAAUAGAUUUACAUGUGUUGCUAGACCUUGGUGUAAAAUAUGCUUUUAAAUAGGCUUUCAGACCUUUAAAAAGGUCAGAUCAAGCCUUAAAAAUGAGUCUAUGACGGAUAAUAGGCUAGACUCAUGCCUCUAAUUUUUAAAGUAGGUCAGGCUUAAACUUUACAAACCCGGCCCGACCUAGCCCAUUUCCAUCGCUACGUGUAACCUUCCGCUAAGUCCACUGUCCAUAUCUAACUCUAAUUCUUCUUAUAGUGCAAGUCCACCCGACCCGACCUAGCCAACCAUGAUGACGAACAAUGCACAUUUUUACAAUUUUUUGCACCAUAAUGAGUAACAAAUUCUGCCACCAAUAAUAAAAUGGAAAAUGCUUUAUGGCACGACAAGUUUUGUCGCACCAAUUGCAUGAAUUCCUCAAAUCUCAAUUUUCUCUCUUUUUAACGUAUAUUUCCAGCCAUAUCUCUCUUUCCUAUUCUCCAUUUAGUUUAACUUAUCACUUCAACGUUUUUGUUUUGUAUGAUAUGGCAUACAAGGUACACCCUCAUGGUGUGGCUUUGUUGAAUUACACUACAAUAUUUCCAAAGGAUGUUUUGUGGCAGAAUCACCGCUCCAAACUAUUGGUGGAGAAUAUUGUGGUAAAUCAUUACAAAGGCAAUGCAAUUCAUAUUGUGAAAUAAUUAAGUUUAUAUAUAUGUUUUUGCUAGAAGACACAUUUUAUGAAAGUGUCUUUUAGCAAGUUAUUCUAUGAUCAUUUGUUAAAAGACACCAACUAAUUUUUAUUAAGGUGUUUUUUAGCAAAAUUAUAACUAAAAAUUGAAAAUGACAUCUUGAGGUGUGGGUUGCUAAAAGACACCUUCAUGGGUGACUUCUAUCAAAACUCUAUAUAUAUAUAUAUAUAUUGGUCAAGUAGCCUAGUAGCUAGAGAAAUUCACCUUUAAAAUGAAUAAGUGGGAUGUCCGGGGUUCGAACCCCGGCCUCUGCACAAAUUGUGCAUUAUCCUUUACCAAAUGAGUUAAACUCGUGGGGACAAUUUAUAUAUUAUUUUACUUGAGGUAGAAAACAAUAUUUUAUCUUACUUGUGUCAAAAAAUUGCUAAAGAUCUUGAGGCAUGAUAUAUACAUUGGCGUGCAAAUGGUACGACAAAGAUGUCGUACCAUAUAGCACUACUCUAAUAAAAUUUACAUUAUAUUUUUAUCAAAGAAAAAUUACUCCAUAAGGAGUACAUUAUAAUAUUGUGAUCAUAUAUUCAUUUCUAAUAAUACUUUUAUGCAAAUUUCAAACCCAUAAAAAAUAUCAUAACGAAAAUUUAAAAUUAACUAAAAAUAAUAAUAAAACUAAAAUUAAUUAAAUAUUAUCAAUUCAACUCGGGUUGAACCCCGAUCUAACCUUCAACCUUUAUUUCAUUGAUUCAAUCAAUGUCGGACCUAAUUUUGAUUACCUUACAAAAACUUGGUUUUUUUUUUUGACAAAUAAAAAAAAAACUUGGUUUCUUUUUUGAGCAAUGCUAUAUAUCAAGAAAGAUUUUAUCAAGAAAAUUUUAAGAAUGACAUGACAGAAUAAUCACCCUUAAAUUUUAUCAAGAAAUAGUCUUGAAAUUAAUGUUAGCCAAUAAAAUCUCAGCUUGGCCGGAAAUCAUGGGGUGGUGGGUGUUAUGUAUUUUUUUUUAUGAAAGAUUAAUAAAUGAGACUGAAAUCUAAAGGUGAUUAUUGUGCCAUGUCAUUCUUGGAUAUUUCUUAUAAAAUCAUUCUUGAUAUCUAGCAUUUUCCUUCUUUUUUUUGGUAGUGAAAAACUUUUUUUUUUUUUUUUUAUAAGAAGAAGCUUAUUGCAUUUCAUUCAAAAUAAUAGUAGAGAUACAAGAUGGAAUCCUAAUACGAAUAUGGAAACUAGCAUGACGCAAAGCCACUCUAGCAAAGCUAUGAGCAACUUCGUUGGCUUGUCUCCGAAUGAACCUAACAUCAGAGGUUACUAAAUCAGAAGCUAACAGACAUCUACAAUCAUUAAUAACUGCGCUAAAAUUAGAGACGCCACUAUUACUACCAUAAAGACUGUCUACCACAAUUUUGGAGUCGAGCUCAAAGUCCACAAUACCUAGUUGCAGAUCACGAACCCAGUGCAUUGCUGAUAACAAACCCAAAGCCUCACCCAAAUCGACAUCAAGGAGCGGAGUCAUCCAUUCAGUCUUGGCUAAAACAAAACGACCUUCUUCAUCUCGAAUACAAACACCAAUACCAACCCGAUUCCGAGCUUGAGAAAAGGACGCAUCAACAUUACAAGUAAACCUACCGGGACUUGGUUUAAUCCACUUCAAAUCAUUCGGGGUGGAAGGAUUUUGAGGGCUAGGAUGCCGAAUAUUCUGAGCAUUCCUCCAGCUAGUAAGAAGAGAACCUGCACGAGCACAAAUAUCUUGAGCUGUAUCAGUGAUGUUGUUCCAUACCUUAUUGUUUCGAUGCUUCCAAAUACUCCAAAGGGUCACACUGAAGAUUUGCUUUUGCUGCUGAUCCAGGUGUUGUAGGAUAGCAAACACAUUGGUUGGAAAACUGACAUUAAUAUCAAAGACAGCCAUCAAAGGGCUCCAUAAGCCAAUACGUUGCCAACAAAGCAUACUUUUACUACACAUAAAGAACAAAUGGUUGCUAUCCUCUCCGAAAUCAUCACACACUGCACACCUGUCAGUACACUGAACUCCUUUAGAUUGCAAACGAAUUCUCGUGGGCAAGCAAUUGCGGCAAGCUCGCCAAAGAAAAUUCUUAACUUUCGGGGGCAGUUUUAAACUCCAGAUACAAUUCCAAUUACCCAGUACACGGUGUUGAACAAUUGCCAUAUCAUGAUUCAGAAUAUCUUUAUAAGCACUUUUAACUGAAUAAUUACCAUCCCUUUCAAAAUUCCAAACAGGCAUAUCAUGAGUUACUGAAGGAAGCAACGGAGUGUUAAAAAUGUUUAUGGCAGUACUAGAGUCAAAGAAAGUAUUAAUGAGCUCCAUAUUCCACUGUUUCUGGGGUGUAAUCAACAAGUCAGAAACAGUGAUGGAAGGCCACUCCAAUUGAUGAUGAGUUGAAGGUAAAAUUCGUGCAACAUUACUGAUCCAGGGAUGAUCUCAAACUGGUAUGUGUUCACCUGUACCUAUACUCCACUGAAAACCACGCCGAAUCACAUCUUUAGCACUCCAAAUACUACGCCAAACAUAACUAGGAUUAUGGCCAAUGCUUGCUCCAAAAUAGUCACUUCGAGGAAAAUAUUUAGCUUUGAGUAAACGAGUGAUUAGAGACUCUGGAGAAGAAACCAACUUCCAAGCCUGCUUACCAACCAUAGCCAUAUUAAAGGCCUUAAGGCCCUUAACUCCCAUACCUCCAUAUACCUUUGGAACUGAAAGCCGCUCCCAAGAUAGCCAGUGUAAUCCUCGAGAAUUUGCUGAAUUAUGACCCCACCAGAAGGAAUUUAACAUUUUUUCUAUCUCAUUUAUGAGGGAACCCGGAAGAAGGAAAAUACUCAUCACAUAGGAAGGAAUAGAUUGCAAAACAGACUUAAUGAGAACCUCCCUACCAGCCUGCGAGAGACAUCUACUACUCCAUGAGUUUAUUUUACUCCAGAUGCGAUCCUUAAUAAAUUUAAAAGUUGCAUGUUUGCUGCGGCCAAUCAUAGAAGGUAGACCAAGAUAUUUACCUAUACCCAACACUUGACGAACACCGAAAGUAGUAGCAAUGAGAUUCUUCAAAUCAUCUGGAGUAUUGCGGCUACAAAAUAAUUCAGACUUUUGGAGAUUAAUGGUUUGCCCCGAAGCUUCUUCAUAAGUAGUCAAAAUAUUUUUCAUACAGACAGCCUCACUCUCACAGGCUCUAAAGAAGAGAAAACAAUCGUCUGCUAAGAGAAGGUGAGAAACAACUGGUGCAUUUGUGCAAAUCGAAGUACCUCUAAUAUUAUUGCAACGUUCGGCUUCACGAAUAAGGGAAGAGAGACCUUCAGCAUAAAUGAUAAAUAAAUAAGGUGAGAGAGGAUCCCCUUGACGGAGUCCGCGUCCUUGCACAAUAGGACCCAUUGAUGCUCCAUUAACCAAUACUGAGUAAUCAACCGUCUCAACACAAAGCAUAAUCCAACUAACCCAUCGAGAUGAAAAACCCAUUUGAAUCAUGAUUUCUCGUAGGUAAUCCCAAUCUAAUCUGUCAUAUGCUUUACUAAUGUCCAACUUAAGUGCAACAUCUUCACUCUUACCUUUUGCCUUAGCCUUCAUAUAGUGAACAAUUUCAAUAGCCACCAUUGCAUUGUCUAAGAUAGAUCGACCUGGUACAAAAGCUGACUGAUUAAUAGAGAUACAUUUAUCUAGUACCUGUUUGAGCCUGUUAGCAAGCACUUUGGCUACUAUUUUGUAUACAACAUUGCAGAGAGCAAUAGGUCGCCAAUCCUUCAUUGAAUUUUGAUAAUCACCUUUAGGAAUAAGAGUAAUAUUAGUAGAAUUGACAUGUGGUGGGAAAGCACCACUAGCUAGCCAAUGACAACCUGCCUGAUAGACUUCAUGACCACAAGUAUCCCAAAAAUGUUGAUAGAAACCUGGAUUAAAACCAUCUGGACCUGGACAUUUAUCUGCUUGCAUGGAGAAAGCCGCCUGUUUGAAUUCUUCUAAGGUGAAAUUCGCAGUCAACAUAUCAUUAUCAUCUUCGGUGAUUGAAGUUGGAACCAAAUUAAUUACACUUGCACGCGAGCUUGGUGAUUUUUUAAAGAGAUGCAUGAAAUAAUCACUUGCAAUUUGCUUCAGACCAUCUUCAGUUCGACAUUCAAUACCAUUUUCAUCCUCAAGAUGCUCAAUUCUAUUCAACUUUCUUCUGGUGCUUGCUGCCGCAUUAAAAAACUUCGUAUUAAGAUCCCCAUCACGAUACCAAAAUGUCUUAGCAUGUUGUUUCCAAAACAUAUCAUCUUUGAUCAACAAUUUAUCUAAUCUCUGUCUUAACAUAUUGAAAUAAUUCACAUUAGAGGCAUCCACAUGUGAACGGAUAGUUUCAAGCUUACGUUGAGUCUUGCGAAUCUCUUGUCUGGUGUUUUGGUUAGUAUUCAUACUCCAUUUAGAUAGAUCCACAUCACAUUGAUUAAGUUUAUUCACAAGAGGACGAUCACCAUAACCUUGCCAUCUUUGAGAAACAAAAGGCCCGAACUCGGGUUCAACAAGCCACACAUUCUCAAAGCGAAAGCGACGUUGACCGGAACUAGGCGCAGGCUGCGGAGCACAAUCCAACAAAAGAGGGUAAUGAUCAGAUGAUGUGGUAGUAAGACAUUCAAGCUUAGCGUUCUGAAACUUAUCAAACCAACUAUUAUUAGCCAUAGCUCUAUCCAAUUUCUCCUCCACAGCGCGGACAGUUCCAAGACUUUUGAACCAUGUGAAAGCAUAACCAUCCAUAUGAAUAUCAGCAAGCCUAUCAUCCAAAACAGCUUGCCGGAAACCUUGAAUAAGCCAUGGUUGACGAUCAGACCUUCCUUUCUUUUCAUCAGUUGAUAGAAUAUCAUUAAAAUCACCAAUAAUACACCAAGGAAGUGGAGACAUAUUUGAUAAAUGUCGAAGUAAGUUCCAAGACUCUCUUCUCCUCCCUCCUUCUGGCAUACCAUAGAAUCCAGUUAACCUCCAUCUUCCCCUAAUAGAGUCAUUUACCUCCAUAUCAAUAUGAUUCUGGGAGAAAUUUGUGAUAGUACAAUUAAAGUUCUUAUUCCAUAAACAAGCCAAACCACCUCCCCUACCAAUACGGUCAACAGAAAAACAGUAAUCGAAAGCCAACAUAUAUUUCAAUUCUUCAAUUUUAUUAGACGUUGUCAUUGUUUCAUACAUGAUUAUUGCAUCCGGUUUAUAGGUCCUGACUAGGUACUUUAAAUUAGGAACUGUGCUCGGGCUACCUAAACCCCGACAGUUCCACCAUAUAAGACUCAUUUACCUUGGCGGGCAUGGUGUCCAGGUCCCGCCAUUACAUUAUUAAUCCCACCUAGUCCCCUAUCCCUCAUGUUAACAUCCUUGCUAGCCGUAUCUUGACCACCAUCAUAUUCAUUAGAGCCUUUCGUCGCAACACCUUCCUUAGUCUUCUCCACAGUGUCCUCGCGAUCUUCCAUGCGAAGCCUUUUGAGUUGCUUAGGUCCUUCGGAGGCAAUCUUAAUUGUACCAUUAUCACUAACUUUCGGUUUAGGCAUUGACGCUGUUAAUUGUGAUAUAGGAGGCUGGGCAACGACAUUAAAACCGAACGGAGCACUUUCAAUUGAGAGAGGAUUCUUGAGCCUAGCUUCUUGAACCAAUCGGGCGAUGCGUUCCUCAUCUGGUAGUGAAAAACUUAAAACUGGGUUUCUUUAACAUGCGAAAUAAGGACACAUGUUAACAAUAUUAUUAUUAUUUUUGAAUAAACUUGUUUAUAGAUUUAUAAAAGCACUUACUCAAUAAAAUUAAAUUCUAUUAACCAAAAAUAAAAUAAAAUUCAUAAUAAAGUUGCAUAUAUUCUCAUAUUUUCUUUUGUCAAAUCACAAUCGUCGUUUUAUCUUCAUACACCGUGUCGUUUAACACCUCUGGUAAUAGCAUUCCACCCGAAAGCAGCUUUUACACAGUAUCAAUAAAAAACGAUAGAGAAACAUAUAAACCCCGUUUCAACGACCAAACGCGCGUUUCAAAUAAUCUAACCCCAAACGCUCGCGCUUGAUAAUCCAUUUUCCCCCUUCUUUUAAUCGAAAAUAAAAGGUGAAGAAAUCAAACAAUCCUUUCACUUUCGAUUACCGAAUCAAAUUCAGAAUCGCUUAAACAAUGACGACGGAAGAUAACAGCGUUAGGGUUUCUUCUUCCAAUGAAGCAUCUGCGACAAACGAAGUUUCACAAACAAGACAGAGGUAACUCACGUCAUUGAAAAUUUGAAAUUUGUUUAAUUUUUGUCUUUUAUUCGUUAAUUAUGUGAAAUUAGUUGGAUUACUGUGUUGAUUGAUUUCACCGUGGAUUUGUCUUUUUUACUGAAUUGGAAUUAUUUGAAUAGCUUAGUGUGAAUGUUUUCACUUUUCAAAUAUUAAAAAGCUGGAUUAGUCUCUGAAAGUUUUGGUAUCACGGUGGGUUUACCGAAAUCACGAUUACGCGGUGAUUUUUUUACCUCCAAAGUGUAGCUUUUGCAAGAGGGUCAUGGUAACUAGUGCCCUGAGACACUUGUUAAGGGAAAAAAAGAGUAAAUUUUGCAUUGAAAAGACGGUUGACUACACUAGUUUUAAGAUAAUUUUAUUACUCCCUCCGAUCACUAUUAUAAGCAAAAAACUACUUUUUAGGUUCAUUGAAUGAGUGAUGUAAUUGACCAUUAAUAUAGUCCACAUACAUCAUUUAUUCAAUGAACCUAAAAAGUAGUUUUUUGCUUAUAAUAGUGACCGGGGAGUAUAUUAGUUCAUUUGCCAAAUUACGGUGGCUCAUGCAAAUUUGUCAAACUCACCUCGGAAGCAAACAUUUAUCUAUUGGUGAAACAGGUGUUUAGGGUUUGGGAAAAACUUUAAUAGAUGUUUUCGAAAAUGUAUAUUUUGUAGGAUUGACCACAUUUUUAAUAAAUCAUAGAUGUUUUCGAAAGUGUAUAUUUUGUCCGGAAGUAUGCAAUACUCUUCCGAACUGAAAGUGAUAUUGGGGUGUGGAAAGUUCCUCCCAUAGGGUUAAUGCUAAAACGACAACACACUUGGUGCAUUAUAUUUUAGGUUAUGUCUGUAUGGAUUGACUUAUUUGAGUUUAUCUGCUAACACAAGUUUUGUCUGACCGUUUUUCAGCCUAUUUUCAUAAGUUCUCCAGCGUAGCUUAUGAAAAUAGCUUAUAACUUGCAUAACAAUUUAAAUUUAUUUUAUCUUUUGCUAUAGAAAUAACUUAUACAUCAGUGCCUGAGCUUUUAAGUUGCAAAUAAGUUUUUAUCCAAAUAGUGCUUCGCAUAACUGUAAGGGAGUUCUCCAAGAUAUUCCCAAAAGUGUACUUUUGGACGGCAUUUUAUCUGGAAGUAUGUUUAAAAUCCUCGUUUUUUCUCGAUGUGUAAAUUUGAAGUGAUGUUGGGGCGUGGAAAGUUUCUCCCUUAGGUUAUGCGAAAACGGAAACCACUUAGGGUCUGUUUGGAUUAGUUUAUUUGAGGUUAUCUACUGCCAUAAGUACUUGCGACAUUUUUAUUUUAUUUGAAGAAGCUAAAUUAGCCCACCCAAAUUGGCACCGGCUGAGACCUUGAGGAGGAGCACACUCGAAGGUCCCAAGUCAACACCACCAUGCCAACCCAAAUAAGUACUUGCGACAUUGUUUGGGAUAACUUAUGAAACAACUUCAGACAUUUUCAUAAGUUGAUUUCAUGUUAUUUCCAUAAACUCUCCAGGAUAGCUUAUGAAAAUAGCUUAUAUAUUAUACAAAAAACUCAAUAAAUUCUUAUGCUAUAAGCUGCAAAGUCAACUGCAAAUUAAAUUGUUAAUCCAAACAGGGCCUCAGUGCAUUAGAUUUUAGGGGGUCACAUUGAUAGAAUGAAAAUACUAAAGAAAAUUUAUUCGAUUGUAUUUGAUACUAUGUUUUGUGAAUUUUUUAUUGAGUGUUCUGAUUUUUUUGUAGAAAGAAGAGAAAGUGGGAUCAACCAGCAGAGUCAUUGGUAUCAGUUGGGAUGGCAGUACCCGGAGUUCUUCCUUUGAGCAAUGCUAUGCCUCUUGGUGGGGUUGCAUUUCCAGGUGUGACACCAGUGAUAUCCAGCGCUCUUUUGACUAAUCCAUUGGCUGCUGCAGCCCUGCUUCAGCAGCAAAGCACGGCGGCGGCCCAAAAAUUGAAUCAAGUGAGCUGUCUAAUCCCUUGCAAUGUUUGACGUGUUUGCCGAUGCUCUUUCUUGAUUAUAUUGCCGUAUCAUUCUUUUAUUGUUUUAGUUUGUGGGAAAACAAGUGUGGUAUUGUUCGAUGAAAGUGUGGUAUUUUUUUGAUGAAAUUUCAUCUAAGGAUUUUGAACUUGGUGCUUGAAUGAUAUGAGAAUUAUAAGGGGGUUGUGAACUUGGUGCUUGAACUGUGUCCUCUAUUGAAGCGCUAGUAAUACUCUUGGAAGUUUAUUUACACCGCAAUGAAUUCAUGAUAUUUUUUUAAAUGAAAAAUGCAAUGGAAUCGUGACAUUGAAAAUUGAAAUUAUAUAUAAUUACUAAAUUUAGUUUUGCAGUUCGACACUUUAAUGAUUAUCAUUCAGCUUCUUAUGCUCUGUAAUUUUGCCUUUUAAAGCACACUCUUUUAAGAUUUGUGAUAUUGAAUACUAGCUUCGUCCAUGUAUGCUUCUCAGACCCAUCACUUGCAAAGUCUGCAGAAUAUGCUUUCGGGUGGCCUAAAAUCAUUGACUUCAUAUUUUGUGCAUUUGCAAUUAAUAAACUGUCUUUAAUUUUUUAUUUCAUUUAUACAAGAGUAUUUUGGCAAAAUUGUGUUCUCUGUUAUUCCAAAUAUUCCUUUCCUUCUAAUUUUCAUAGAAUAAUUGUGUCAGGGUAGAUUGAUGCUAGCAACAUAUUUACUUAAUAAGUGUUUAUGUGUGUGGAGAUUUUGCUGAAGCCUUUGAUUCUCCCUGAAGUUUUUGCGUUAUUUUAUUAUAGAUUUCUUUUGUAAAUUUUAAAUAUUUUUUUAUCUUAUUGUGGGAUAAAUUUUCAUGUAGCAAAAGAUCCAAGAUGAGUUGGUAAUUGCUCGAGAAAUCGUCAUAAAUGAUGCAGAAUCUUCUCUUCGCUACAAGUUGACAAGACGCCAGACACAAGAGGAGGUGACCUGGAUAAGAUAAUUUUACUCCCUUUUAACCCCAAAGCUUCUCUUUAAUUUUUAUCUAAACGAUCAGUUUUCCUCUUCUUGCAGAUCCAGAGGUGCACUGGUACUAUAGUUAUAACUAGGUUUGUAGUUCGUUCAAAGCAUUUCUAAAGUCCUUUUAAGUUUUUACUAUACUGCUGGAAGUAAUGUCUAUGCUGGUUGCUUUUGCAGGGGUAAGUAUCGACCUCCCAAUUCGCCGCUCGAUGGAGAAAAGCCGUUGUAUCUCCACAUCUCUGCAGGAGCUCAUGUAAAUGCUGAUACUUGGUUUUUAUUUUUUUUAUUUUUUUAUAUAUAUAGAACAAUGAUUGGGUUAAAUAAUCAGAUUUAAUCGGACAUUUUUGUCCAAUCCUUUAUUUCAUAUGAAAGUAACAUUUAUUACUUAAAAUGAUGUGGUCAGAACUCAUAUAUAGAUUGGAAAGGAAAUGUCACUUGAAAGAGAUUAUUUAAUUGAAUUUAUUUGCAACAAAUUGGCUUCUUAUUCAUGAAAGGAGAUUCAUAUUGCUUUUUUGUAUGUCAUGACACAAUAAUUGAUGGCUCAUGGCUGUGUUACAUGAGAAUGAAUUACGUAAUUUAGUUUGCUUCUAGUGACAUCACAUUAUGUUGCAGAUAAAAGAUACGGCGGAACGGAUUUUAGUUGUUGAUCGUGCUGCUGCAAUGAUUGAAGAAAUGCUAAGGCAGGGGCAAAAUUCGCAGUCAAUUUCUUCUGCUUUACCUUCAGCUUUGGCUAAUGGAGUGAAGGUAGAAAUUCAUUCAUUACUAGCUCAUAUACAAUGUGAUGUGAUGUAUUGAUAACUAAAAUGUAUUAAUGAAUCAGGUAUUGAGCACAUGUGUGUUUUUGGGAUUUGAUGCUGACCCAUCAUGGAACAUUGUUGCUCGUAUACGUGGACCAAAUGUGAGUCCUUCCCUAACUAAUUGAUUUGUCUAGUACUCUUGUGCUUUAUGUUUGUGCAUGAAUAUAAGUGGAGAGUCUGCCACAACUAUUUUCAGAGAGGACUGUUUGAAGUUUCUCCUCUGUAAUCUGUUCAUAUAUUGACUUUUUGAGUCUCAUGUAAUGGACAUGUUAUGAUUCACAAUUAUAUCAUAUAUUGAUUUGCUGUUUUGUUUUUAUUUCUUACAUUUUUACUAUUCUAUCUUUUUGCUCACUGGGAGUAGGUGUGUAUUUGUUUUAAACUUCUAUUUGAUUGCGUGGAAAUACUUUGCUAUAGCUUAGGUUAUUGAUUACCAAGGUGUUGAUUAGGCAAGAAAAAAGGGAGGAUGUCUGGGGAAAUUGAAGACUGUUGUAGUUGGCAAAGUGUUCUUUUUAUGGGUUGGGAUCCUCUCAAUUUUCUAAAUAAAAUGGAAAUGUCAAUUACUAUAUUUUUUUACUAAAUAAAUAAUAUAAAUGUAAACAUUUCUAAAAUUGGAGACAUUAAUUGAACAUUUAUACACGGAAACUGAGAAUGGAACAAAUGGAAUAAAAAAUGGAGAGCAUCUUAAUUCUUGACUGGGAUCCUCUCCAUUUCCUAAAAGAAAUUGAAAUGUCAAUAACUAACUCAGUAACUUUCUUAGGUGUGGGCUUCUUCAAAAGAAAAAAACUCUCUUAGGUGUGGGGUUAGGCCUGUAUAUAUAUACAAACUAACAAACAAGAACAGAGGUAACUCGCCAAGUAACUACAAAUUAGAGAUUAAAUUUACACAGAUAAUUACGGGUAGAGACUGAACAUUCGGUUGUUUGCUCAUCAAUACGUAAAACUAGAUUUGCCUAAGAAAAUAUCGGGAGUUAUACUAAUUAAUUGCCUCAUCUAACAGCAUAAGUCUGACCUGACUUAUUUAUUUAUUUAUUGGAUUGGAUACCUUGCAUCAUUAUUGGUGGAUAAUUAUUUAUUUUAAUAUAUUUUAUGAUGCUUAAAAUUGUGUAUUUGUAAAUAAUCUAAUGUUUCAAGCCUCCUCUGACGUCUCCGUACAAUUUGGAGAAUUUUUUUGGGGUUGGUGGUCGUUUGGAUUUGAACGUGCAGGACCAGUAUAUAAAUCACAUUAUGAAUGAAACAGGAGCAACAGUAAUACUUAGAGGACGUGGUUCCGGAAACGAUGAAGGCUCAAAUGGAGAAGGUACUUUCUUCAUUUGUGGGAUUCAAACUUUUGAAGGGAAUUAUAUUUCAGUAUAGAUUACUUUCGUGAUAUUCGCUUUUCAGUUUGAUUUGUUUUCGGUUUUAGAUGGACAGCAACCUAUGCACCUGUUUUUGUCUAGUAACAAUGCAAAAAGCCUUGAAGAUGCUAAGUUCUUGGCGGAAAAUCUUUUGGAUACAAUCAGUAUGGAAUGUGGUGCUUCGAGGUAUUCAAUUUUAUAUUGUCAUAUGAUAUAGGAUGUGAGCCAGGUUUUUUUCUUAAGAGUAGAAAAUUUAGGGAAUACUCUGUUUUUCUCAAAUAUUAGCUCUUACCAUAUAGAAACAAAUCUUUAUUUAGAAAAUACAAAUUUUUAUUAUUUGAUAUUUCAUGGAACACGGCAACCUACCUUUUGAUUAUUUCCUAUGCUGAUGUCAACAUGACAACAAUCCUUUUUCACUAUGGAAUAAUUAAUAUCACACGUAUUUUGAAGUGAAUUUGGAACAUUCUUCGGUACAUUUCUGGAAACUGGGGCUAAACAUUAAUUUUCCCGAUACACAUCCUAGAAAAACAUGUAUCCUCUCAGUGUGAUAGACAGUAGGUUUGACUAGAAAGAUGUGAUAUUUUUGGUAGCUAGGUGACCGGUGAUCAGACUGAGAAAUUCUCACCUCCGAAACAUUCGCUGCUUUAAACUCCCUCUUUUCUCUUUAAAAAAAAAUUGGGGAAGGGGAAAUUAUUUGUUGGAAAUUCCGCCUUCAUUGCGGUCCACCCCUAGCCGCCUAAUUGCAACAUUUGGGUUGCCUUCAUUGCAGCCUUCAACACCUUCAUCGUGUUGGGUUUGAGGGGGUGGAUUUUUUCCCACGGUGCUUGGAGAUAUGGUGUGUGUAGUACUGUAAUGUUUAUAAAGCUUGGACAACCCUCACCUUACAAGCCGGUUUUGUAAGGAUUAGUUGAGCCCAACUCAAAUUUUAAGAUUAUUAUUAAUAACGAUGACACUAAUGACCAUUUUACGGUAGUCCGUGAUGGGAUUUGAACCAUGCCCUUUGAGGUUAACAAGUCAAACUCUUAACACUAAAAUGACACCUAUUGCACAAAAGUAGAAAAUGAAUAUUCUGGGCUUUGUCUAAGUCCUUACUUUGAAGGGCCUCAUAAUUAUUGCUAGCCUUCAAAGUAAGGGCUUCAUAAAAAUUAUUUCGAUGAAGGGCCUCCCUUGCACUCACUUCACAACAUCUCAUUAGAUAAUGUAAGCCUUUCAAAUUGUGAGGCUGAUACCCAACAGCUUCUCCCCUGCACUCAAAUCACAUGAAGGGCCUCAUAAAAAUUAUUUGCAUGAAUGUAUGUUGCCUUUGUUGUUGCUUCUAUCUCAGGGACACACUUAUACUAUCCUGCUAUUAAUACUUGUUAUUUUAGUUUAAAAUUUAGGCACAUUUCUGUUGCAGAUAGGUUCUUUCACAUGGUCAUUGUACGGUAAUUGGGAAAUUUGAAACUCCUGGACUUUGUUGGUUGAUUUAAGUAUUAAAUUUGGUACUUGUGUGGUUUGCAUUCAAUUUUAAUUUUAUGGAACUAAGGUUGGGUUUGAUAUGGUAGUGUGUGGGUAGGAUGGGAUUCCCACAAAUGGAAGUAGAGGUCUGGUAAAUCUGAUUGGCAAUCAUCUUUUUCCAUUGCAAUUCUUGAAACUAUGUUAUUUGGUUAUUUUUAUUGUUGGGAACAUGUUAAAUUUCUUCUAAGUUAUAGGAAUAACUUUUGAUUUAACUGUCAUAGGAUUUCAUCAUGUAAAGUUUAUAGUGCUGUUCCACCUCCACAGCCGGUAUAUACUGCUGUUCCACCUCCACAGCAGGUAUAUACUGCUGUUCCAUCACCCCAGCAGGUUUAUAGUGGCCCUUCAUUGUCAAAGCAGAUUUCUACUGCCAUUUCACCCGUACAACAAGGUUACAGUGCUGUUCCACCCCCACAGCAGUUGUUGGCUGGAGUUCAGUGUUCGGAGGCAAGCACAGACGUAACCACUACUUCAAUGUCAUUGACUGCAGUUUCGACACCAGUUCCUACAGCAAACAUGAUUGGUUAUGCUCCUCCUUUAGUAUCAGGUGGAACUAGCUAUAUUGGAUAUGGUGGAAUAUAUCCUCAAGCUACCCCAUUGCAACAAGUUGCUCUUGCCUUGAGGCACUCACCUCCUGUUGCUUCAACAGUUGCUCCCGCAACAUCGGCACCAAACAGAGAGUCCAAGUCUACCACAAACUCUAAUCAUGAAAAAGAGGAUAAACGGACAGCUCAGAGGCGAAAAUUUCAAGAACAGCCAGUUGUUUCAAAGGGCGCAAAACACAAUCAGGUCAUUGCAUUGCCAUUGAUAAAAUCUUUUAAUAUAUCAUUUUGCAUGAUGCAGGGGGGAUAUCAUUGAAUCUCUUGAUAACUAGUUAGGUUGCAGCAAAUAAAAGCCUUGGUUUAUGGGAAGUCUGGUUUAAUCUCUUUGCAUUCAGAUAUACUGUUAAUUGGAUGUGCAAAUUUGAAUAUAUUAAAAAGCAUCAAAGCAAUAAUUAUCUGACGUUAGGGCUGUAAACGAGGAGCACUGGGGAAUUGGGAAAUGAACCGGGGAAAUUAAACCACCAACUAAUUACUUAAAACACCCUCUCAUAUUGGAUCCUAACAAAUUCUGACGAGAACAAAUGAAAGAAUCAUUAUUUGAAAAGAAAAGAUUGACAAACCAAGGCUGAUAACUCCCUUCUGAAGGGACAACUCCCUCACAACCAACUUGGUUAGUAUACAACAUGAACACAUUCAUUACAAACUUUCCUUCCCUUUCAUAUUUUUACAGACUUCAGAGUUUUCAAUAGCAAUGUAGGUAAAGAAUUUUUACGAUCCACAUUGCUAUUGAAUAGAUUAGAUUAUUCAUUAUUACUUUAUUUGAACGUAGUUAUCUUUAUUUUUUAUUUUUGCUUUUAAAAUGAAAGGUAACGAAGUAAAUAGUAGCAAAAUAUCAAAUGCUUCCGAAAGGGAAGUCAAAUGCCUAAGUAUAUGUAGCAGAUCUGCUAUAAGCUAAUCCCUCAAAUGACUGAUUUGACAAAAACUUCCUUUUUUCCAUAAUAGAAGCAAUUAUUUUUACCCUUUUAUUAUUCCUAUUUGUCCCGGUUCUCCUUAUCUUCUGAUCACAGCCUUGGGUGUGGUUCUCCAUACUUACCUGAUGUAUUUUCACUUUCCACUGUAUGUUUGGGUGAAAUUGCCAUUUGACAAAUAAAUUAAAGGCUAAAAUAUGGUUUUGGUCCCUGCAAAUAUGCCUCGUUUUGGUUUUAGUCCCUGUAAAAAAAAUUUGUUGUUUUUGGUCCCUGCAAAAUCAAAAGAUUUUACAGGGACUAUUUUUCUAAUAAAUGAGUUCAGUCAUCAUGUGCCACGUGUGCAAAUCAUUACAAAAGUGGAGUCAGGGACCAAAACCAAAAUGAGGCAUAUUUGCAGGGACCAAAAACAACAAAUUUUUUUUACAGGACUAAAACCAAAACGAGGCAUAUUUGCAGGGACCAAAACCAUAUUUUAGCCUAAAUUAAACUAAACCAGUUGUAGAUGGAUAUCAUGAGCAGAUAACCUCUUUUUUUUUUUCUUCCUGUUUUUAUUGCAUCUAGAACUAUCUUUGGAGUGUGGAUACAUUGACAUAUUAAACAGAACUUCAAAUUUUUUUCUAUUCUCAUUUAUAAUUUUUCUUUUAUAAAAACAAUAGUAUUACAAAACUUAUCUUGCAAAAGCUCUUAAUAUCUAACUCCGUUCUGGUCUAAACAUAUUAUCUUGUGCUGACUUUUGAUACUUAAUAUUCCAGGUAUUUUCUCUGACCUUCUAUGCUGACACUGGACCUGUCUGUUGGGCUGUUGGUUUAUGUUUGACAGGGUUUUCUGUUUUGGAAAGUUUGCUUGUGCACAGUAUACGCCCUUGCCAGUCCAAAUGUUUUAUGAUUUAUCUCUCCAUUGGUAAAGUUGUGGCAAGCUUGUGCUUUGCCCUCCAUUUUUGCAUACAUGGGCUCCAAAAGAAAAUAAAUACUAUAAUAAGAAAAUGAAUAAAAUUUAUACGUGAUUAAGAGUCACUAUUGAACAUCCAAUAUUUUUAAAACCAAGAUGAUGUCAGCCAUUUCCUAAGCAAAGCCAUCUUACUUAAAAUUUUGCAUCUCACUUUAACUAGUUGCCUCCACAAAAUCUUGUUAGACUAAUCCUACAUCCCGCGAUAUGAUUAGUUAAAAAUAGUUGUGUUCAUAAACUCAUCAUUCAUUAAAAAUAUCAAUUUUUUGAGUGCGACCCUUAAAGUUAACCCACCACUUGACAAAAAUCUCAGUUCUUUUUGCAAAACAUGUAUAUCUUGGUAUUUGGCAUCAAUGACUCAUUUGGCAUUGGCAUUGGCAUGAAAGCCCCCAAAAUAUUGGGAACAUUUGAGCUGCUAAUAUACAGUUAUGUUGCCAAUUAUACUAUUCGUUGACAUUUUUUUUUUUUAAGGAAUUCGUUGAUAUAUGUUAUCACAACAAAUUCCUAUUCGUGUUACGUUUCAAUUAUAUUAAUUAAUCAGCCACUUAAAACAGUUUUUGCGCGAAAAAUUUUCCAUUGACUGUUAUUAUCUGUGACAUUAAAUCAGGUUAUAGAAUGAUAGUUGACGAUAUUUGCCAGUUUAUCCUACCUUAUAUUGUUGUGCAUUGUUUUCUUUAUUUGUUUUAUUUUUUAUAGUUCAGUCUCAAUUUACUUGUAGUUUUGUGUAUUGGAGCAAUUAGUAAAAUAUCUGAUUCAGAAGUUGUUUGUAUUUUUGUAUUGUUCCACUCUAACUCAAUUGCAGGGAUCGGAACUUCUAAAACCUAAUGAACGAUAUGAGAACUUGGUUGUGAGGAAUAUAUCAACUAUGCCUGCUCCUAAGAAGUUGGUCCAGCCAUCGUCUAAUGGAAUUCCAGCACCCCCACCAAGAACUACGCCUCCACCACCUCCAAAAAGAGCUAUGCCCCCACCACCUCCUCCACCUAAAUUUUAUGAUUCAAUUGAAGUUAAAGUACAAGACAAGAGCAAUAGUUUACGGAAGACAAAAUCUGAUGCUAUUCCUGGUUCGCAUUUAUCAACUUUAAUAUUGUUUUGAUGUUUCAUUAUGUGUUCUCUAUAUAAUGUGUAUGUAUGAAACUUUUACUGUCUGCUAAGUGUGAUGAUUCUUUAAUUGACUUUGUAAUGUUUUCUUUAUUGUCCAUCUUUUAGAUUUGUGUGUAAUUUUAGGUAUUUAUUUCAGAUACUUUGGUCAAGCUAAUGGAAUAUGGUGACGACGACGACGACGAUGAUCUAGACGAUUCAAAUGCGGAAAUGCCUCCUCGCACAGCCCAAGCAAUUGGGGCUCAAAAGCCUUUCUGGGCCUUGUGAUCUGUAGUGUGGAUGUCAGACAUAAGUGAUGUAAAUAAGCAAUUGUUUUGGUUGAGAUUUAGCCAUUUCAUCAGUGUUCUUGGUGAUUGCUGGUUAGUUACUUUUCAGUGCAAUGGCGGGUGGAGAUCCCUGAGCAUGAUUUUUGGAGAAAAGAGAGUUGGUUGUCAGGUAGCAUUUGAAAUCUACAGGCUAUAUUGCACAUUCUCAUCUGCUUUCCAGAUGUCUGUUGUAAUUUUUUGUCCUAAUUUCAGUAUGCAUUGCAUAUACACCAGUAGUCGAUUUUUUUAGUAGUUUAGUUUGCCAUCAAUAUGAUGAUAGUUGGCGAACUCUUUACAACUAGUCCUAACUGAUAACUGAAACUGUAGCUCCCAGUCCCAGUUUGUGAAAUAUGUUUGUAUUUCCAUCCUCCUAUUACGUUUUACCUAUCAUGUAUUUCUUACAAAUCUCAAUUUUUAGCUAGUAGAAUUUGUAGCAAAUUUUCUGGAUGGAUUAAUAUAGAUGGUUGCGAUUUCCAAAUGCUAUUCCAAUUCUGAUUAGCAACGACAAUAUUCGAUCCAGAUCUCCAUCUGCAUAUUCGAUCCAGAUCUCCAUCCCACAACACUCAUCCAUCAGGUUAAUCUAACAGUUAAGAGGUUAAACCAAUAAGACAAAUUAGAAUAAGUAGAAGAAUAGCCAUCGGAUGGCCGCCCAUGGCGACAUGUUCGACAGGCUGGUUAAUCUAAAAUUAUAUGAUUUUUUAUUCACCUUGAAAUCAUAUUGCUCAAAUGUAAAUUUGUUGAACUGAUUUGUUCGAUAUAUGUUAAAGUAAUUACACAUUUGUGAAAAGAAAAAAUUGUUGGAAUUCAUUUUUGCGAAGAGGAAGUGUUGAUUUAUAUAUAUAGAAGACUGCUUUUAAAAUAUGUCAUUUUGUAGCACUUUAUAAAAUUGUGACCAUGAUCAUUUGUUUUCUUCCCAAAUCCCAUGGAAUAAAAACAUGGAUCAUGUUAGAAUAACAAUCUUGAUAACGAAGUUCGGCCAAUUUUGCAUGUCUCCCUCCAACUGCAAAACAAUUGUAUAGUUCCACUAUAUUAUCAAUGAAAUAUUAGGGAUUAUUGUAUACAAUUCGUAUUUAAAUACGACACUCUUAUUUUUAAGCCAUAGUCAGCAACAUACCCUCUUCUAUCUCUCAAACAAAUAAGGGAGAAGGGUGUUAAAGAGUGUAGAGAAGAUAAUGGUGAAACGGAAAAGAGUAUGGUUGUAGUUACUAUUCCAUAAAUCCGCUACCAUUGAGUUAAUUCUCUUUAUUUUAAAAGUUUUGUCAAAGAAUACUCUAUUCCAUAAAUCCGCUACCAUUGAGUUAAAAUAUUAGUAUAUUACUCCAUUGUGUUAAAUAUUAAUAUAUUAUUAUUCCAUUUUGUUUCAAAAUAUAAGUCACUUUUUUUAAGUAGAAGAAAUGACAAAACUAUUAUAAAUUCACACACACAAGUGGAGAUGUAAGGCUUCGAAACUCAAUUAUGGUGUUUGACUUAACAGUUUUGACAUUUUAUCAGUUGAGCUAGCACUUGUGAACAUAUAAGUCACUUAUUUAUUCACCAAAAAUACUCAUGAAUAUUCCCAGUAAAAUAUAUACUCUUUUGGACAAUUUUAUGUGUGGAAGGAUAAACUGAAUAUUAAAUUCUUUAGAGAACAAAAAAAAAAAGUUAGGCCAAUUUUCUAAUAAGAAAUAGAUUCAAGAAAGAAAACACGUUAAGUUUGCAACACAACAUCAAAAUGGAAAUAUUAAACCAAAAAUUAAGAAACUAAUCACUUUAUUAUUAGCAUAACAAAAGUCCAAAUGAACUUGGAAACAAGAAGAGAUAAUAAACUAUCCCCAAUCAUUACCCAAACAACAAAACUUAAAAUGCAGAUCAUAAACCACUACAAAGUUUGUAGAUGCAAACUCUUAUUACAAGUUUUUCCCCACAAAUAAAUGUUUUACUCUCACCGUAACUUAUUUCUAUCCGGUGUUGGGCUCGCCAAGAUAUCCGCCACUAUUUAUAGUCGCAGUGGUGGAGAUGUUGGGAACCGACAUAGACCGGAUAUGCAUAACAAGCCUACGCAACAUUUUUUAUCAAAACCAUUGCAUUUUUCGCUAAAUGUCUUACAUUUUUUUGGCUUGUCGCAGUUUAAUAUAUUCCCAUUUCUACAGAGGCAGGUUCCUACAAAUCCCCCAUUACAAACUAACGAUUUAUCACAACAUGUUUUAUCAAAACCAUUGCAAGGUUGACCAUAGUUACCAUCUGGACAAAUGGCCUGAGAUAUGGUAGCCAAAACCACCAAGGUAAGCAUGAGAACCCAAAUAACUUUAUUGCUGCUCAUCUCCUUAUCUUCUUUCUCUUUAUUACUUAUAAUAUAUGACUUGUGUAUGAGUAUUUGUGUGUGUAUCAAAAUGAAACUAAAUUCUCAUUUUAUAGGCAUUAUGUUGUAGUAAAUUAUAUAUUUAAUUUGUCAUGUGUGAAGAAGGAUUAGAAUAAGAUAUACUGAAAGGGGGUAGGAAGCUGCUGGGUAUAAAAUCUUCAAGAUUGUACUACGGAGCACAUGGUUAUAAAACUAUGUAAAGUAUUGAUCUCUUUUAAAUUUUUUAAUCAAAAGAAAUGGUGACUAUCACAUCUUCUUUAUUCUUAUGCUUAAAAAUUUUAUAUAAAUUCAGUAAUUUUCAUAUUUUUUCUACUUAUUUGAUCGAUACAAAGUAUUACUCAUCUUUAAGUUGAUUUCUACAAAUAAAUGCUCGUAUGAGACGGAUUUACUAUAAAUUAUGUGAAUUUACGAUAAAUCCGUCUCAUGCAAGCGGUUUGCUAGGAUAUAUUGAUCAUUCUUAUUGUUCACGUCGCUGGUAAGAGUCUAAAUCAUCUAUAUCACUGAGUAGAGUAAUGGUAUUGUUAAGUUAUUAAGUCGUUAAGAUUAGGAGUAUGAAGGUUUAGCAAUUAGCAUAAUGCAAAUUACCAAAAGCAUGGAUCUGUUGUUAGAAUGAUAUACUAUUUUUUUUUUACAGGGGAUGAUAUUCAUUAUAUGAGGAACACCUCAUACAAUUCCCUCCUCCUCCUCAUCAUCGCCUUCAACUUUUCUACCUCCUUAGUCGUCGAGGGUUGUGACCCCGACGACGAGAGGUCACUCUUCAAAAUCAAGAGUGCCUUCAACAAUGUCAGCUACUUCUCUACAUGGAUGGAUCAAUUUGCAAUGCAAGAUAAUUCUGAAAACCAUGUCCUCUCGUGUCAACAUCCUCACGAUUUUCAGCUCGAACAAAAUCGUGGGCGAAAUCCCAGCAUCCAUUCCAGAGCUCACGUACCCAUAGACCUUAAUCCUCAACAUUAACCCUAACCUCUCCGGACCUAUCCCUAAUUUCUUAAUGAGGUUAAGACACAUGCAUACCCUCAAACUCGACAACAACCGAUUAACUAGUUCCAUUCCCACUUUCUUUGUUAGGCUCCCAAAUCUUCAGCGAAUAAACCUUCAACAAAACAAGCUGAAUGGAAGAAUCCCACCUACAUUCGGCUCCCUAGUGCCCAACUUCUUUGUAUUCUUUCGGGAAACCUAUCUUGGGUCAUAUCCCGAGGUUCUUAUGGCAAGUUAAUUUUGAUAUUCUUGACCUCAGCGGGAAUGAAUUGAAGAGUGACGCUUCUUUUCUAUUUGGGGAGAAUAAAACAAACACUCAGAUCCUCAACUUGUCGUGCAAUCACUUGUUGUUUGAUCUGACUAACGUGGUAAUGCCGGUAGGAGAAGAUAUCCCGAUCUUGUCAUCCUUGGACUUGAGCUACAAUCAUUUAUACAAAUGGUUGCCAGCUUGGUUAGGCCAAGCCCCAUUGUUGCACCAGUUUAAUAUGUAGUGUUGUUAUGAGAGCAUCUGAGGGUGAAGUUAGGGGGUUGCUCCAAGGCCUCAAUUGGAUUGUCUCUUUAGAAUACAAUCAUGUGAUCUUUGAAUUAGAUUGCAAAAUGGUUAUUGAUGAUGUGCACUCAGAGAAGUUGAAUCACUUGAAGUAUGGUUCAGUUUUGCAAGAUUGUAAAAUCUUACUUGAAAAUUAUAACAACUAUCAAGUUGUGUUUACUACGUCAAGCAAACGGUAGCUCAUACUCUUGCAAUGAGAGCUUUACCUCAUGUUUCUCGCAAUAUUUUUGAUUUAAUUCUCGGUUAUUUUGCUACCAUUUUUUGAAUAAAUUGCCUUAUAUUUGCUUGCAUAAAAAAAAUAAUGUGACCCUGAUUUUUCCGAUGUAAUUAAGAACCCUUUGAAUAUAAACAUGUGUUGAGGAAGUAAGCCACAGCUAAGGAAGUUGUUGCCAAAAUUCGAUCUUUCCUCCCUCUCAAGCACACAAGGAAAAAGUGUGUUAAGGUGCAGAGAAAGAGAUUGGAGAAAAGUAAGAAGACAAAUAGAGAGGAUGGAGAAGAUAUAGAUUAUUUAAAAAUGGUCUAAAUUUGUAUUCAUCAUACCCCCUUCGUCCAAAAAUAAUAAACAAAAAUAGGUCAAUAAAAUUUGAUAUAAAUUUUGAACCAAAAACAUCAACUUUUGCUUGUCAAUACUUAUAUUUUAGUACGGAUGGAGUAUACUGUUACCAAACACUAACUAACGAAGAAAAAAUCUUAAAUUUCCCUUUACACCAGUUAAUGAUAUCAUGGUGCCUAAGAAAGAAAAAGUACAAAAUUGCACCAGUAAAUUACACUCACUCCUCUUGAACUUCGGUUAUGCGACGUCUAACCCCGUUCUUAUGAGAGUUAACAUCCUCCAACUUGGCAAUACCGGAACGGAAAUAAUUACUACUCCAAUCUUGAAUAUAAAAAAAAUAAAAAAAUAAAUCAAACAAGAUUGAUUUUUGAUGUAACUAGUUUAAAAUAUGAACUAGAUACAUCUGGUUUGGUUAGCUAUUUUCUUUUUGCUUAUAUUGUUAACCGGAUGGAGUAGUAGUAACAAACACAAUUCUUUGACCUCCACUUUUUUUUUUCAUAAACAAGGCCUAAAUCAAGCUUAAACUUCAUUUAUCAACCAUUAAACUAGUACCGAAAUCUCCAGUAGUCAAAAGAAACCAGCCAUCUCUCAAACCAUUUACACAAAAUAUCAAACACUAGUAUUCCCAUUCGAACAAGGAAAAAACUUUCCACACUCCAACAUGAGUUAAUACACAAAAAAAAUAAAAAAAAACAAAUUAAGUGCCAUCUGAAAAUACACAGAAAAUUUAUGUUGUUCUAAAAUACACUUCUAAAAGAAUAAUUUUGAUUAACUAUUGGUGUAAAUUUUCCUAAAUUAUCAACCAAUCACAAAAUUUUAUAUGUAUGCCUUUUAAGUUAGAUAUGAUAAAGUCAAACAUUUUCAAUGAUCAAACGGUUAUAAUUUACUGACAGUUUAGAUAUGGUGAAAAUCAAACCUUUUCAAUGAUCAAACUACUGACAGUGCAAAAUAUCUUUACAGUGUAAAGAAUCUUUACAUCGUCAAAACAUAUGAAUCCCUUCAAAACAUGUGAGAUAUUUACAAGCUAAGUAGCUGCUUUAAAACGGUCAACUCUUAUGCCAACUUGACCUUAACCAUUAUGGUAAAACCAAAGCAUCCCUUAUUUUUAACCUCUACCCUGUCAAAUGCAGAUACUAAUCAACACCAAAUAAAAUAAUUGUCACAUCAGAGUGAUCUUCUAUUCCUCUAGGAGUGAGGGAUAACACUAUCUCAAAUAGAUUGUUGCUCAAUUCUCAAAACAUUAAUGUCACAUUACUGACUAUAAAUAAUAAAGUCGGUUUUUGUAUCAAAUGGUUGAAAAAGUAAAUCAUUAUAAAUGUAAUAGCAAACAAUCCUAGAAAGCUCUUAUUUUUACAUCAGUCAUUGAGCUGACAAACUAUCAAAUUGAAGCCAAACAACGAAGUUCUGAAAACACAUUUGAUUAUAUCAUCAAUCCUCAAUUUACUUGCUCUACGCAAGGAAUUCCUUCAUGAUGAAAAUACACUCACCUCAUCUACGGGUCUCAGCAUAGUCAUCAGAUUGAUCAUUGUUCUCUGGCACAUGGUUGUUUUCUAACGGCUCACCGAAUUCAUUCUUACCAGCGUCAUAUCCCAAAUUAGAGUUGCUGCUGAAUUCACCACCAGCAGCAGAAGUAGUACCGACAUGGCCACCAGUAUAGCUGUCUGGGGCACCACCACUUGCAUAGCUUCCACUACUGUUAUAAUCAUUGCGACCAUAUGUACUACCACCACCACCACCGUAGUUUCCGCCACCAUAAUUUCCGCCACCAUAAUUUCCGCCACCACCACCAUAAUUUCCACCACCACCACUAUAGCCACCACCACCACCAUAGCCACCGCCGCCGCCAUAGCCACCGCCGCCACCAUAACCACCGCCACCAAACCCAGGACGCGCCCUUUCUGUAGCAUAGUUCACUCGUACUGUCCGACCAUCAAGUUCCUGUGACAACCAACAUAAUUUAGAUGCUACAAGAAACAUUGCCAACAUCGAGUUUUGCAAAGAGCAGCAAAAUGAGUCAAUUGAAAUAAACAGUAACAAUUACUAGUUGACAGUGAAAGACAACUGCCAUAUAAAAAAAAUUGUACAAAUAUAAGUUGGUAAAAUGUUUUACAAAAUCCUAUCCCUCUGUGCCACAAUAAUUGUCACAUCAUCACAAAAUUAUUACUACUCUCUAACCGAUACUAUAUGCAUCAUUCCCAGGUCAUUAUAUUUCAAUUUGCAUUUAUGAUAAAGGUGAAUACACCAAUGCUUAACAAGGAUAAUUUGGUAAAAAUAAUAUUCUCUAUCUUUCAUUAAUAGUUUUUCCUUGAAUUUGUGAAACAAGCAAGUAUGCAAAUUAUUAUAGGAUGGAGGUAUAUCUUUUUGGGCUUUUGAAAUCUAAUUCCCAUUUUGAAAGAAUUUGCAUGGUUUCUCUAAUAUCAUCCUUUUUAAAUAUAUUCUUCAAGAAAUCUAAAAAAUGUAAAAACAGAUUAUGUAGAACAAAGAAUCAUUAACAAAGAGAAUACCUUAGGAUAUUACAGCCACAUGUGCAUUUAUUAUUCCUAUCUUAUCUUGGCUAAAUAAAUGCAAUUGCUUCCUCCAAGUAUGAACAAAAGGUGUUUUACUAUUUCAUAAAUGAGGUAGUAAGUCAUGCUUGCCAUGUGAAUUGGUGAAUUUUAGAAUUUAAAGAUGAUAUCAUCACGAAAACUGAUAAUACCUUGUUAUCCAUGGCCUGCAGGGCAGAGGAUGCUUCCUC